rnacentral:lncRNA from 1 species
UUCAACCCAACGAUCGGACACAUGUCGCGGUGAUCAGCGCCUGCUCCAGACUUGCUACCGAAUCCAGCGAGAAGAGGGAGAGAGCUCUGCGCAUCGGGAUGGAGAUCCAUUCAAUGCUGAGCAAGGAGAAGAAACAGGUAGAUCUGUUCGUGGCGACUUGCCUGGUCGACAUGUACUGCAAGUGUGGCGAGCUUGAGGAGGCUCGCAAGAUUUUCCACUCCAUGGGAACUCGGAGUGUUGUGUCCUACAACGCGAUCAUCCACGGCUGCGGCUCGAACGGGCAAGCUGAACUUGCUCUGGAGUACUACUCUGCCCUGAGAGCUGAUAACACCAUUCAACCUGACGAUUGGACACAUGUCGCGGUGAUCAGCGCCUGCUCCACACUUGCUACUGCCAGCGAGAAGAGGGAGAGAGCUCUACGCAUCGGGAUGCAAGUCCAUUCAGUACUGAGCAAGGAGAAGAAACAUCUAGGUCUGUUCGUGGCGAAUUGCCUGGUAGACAUGUACUGCAAGUGUGGCGAGCUUGAGGAGGCUCGCAAGAUUUUCCACUCCAUGGGAACUCGGAGUGUUGUGUCCUACACCGCGAUCAUCCAGGGGUGCAACACGAACGGGCGAGCUGAACUUGCUCUAGAGUACUACUCUGCCCUGAGAGCUUGUACCACCAUUCAACCCAACGAUCGGACACAUGUCGCGGUGAUCAGCGCCUGCUCCACACUUGCUACCGAAUCCAGCGAGAAGAGGGAGAGAGCUCUACGCAUCGGGAUGGAAGUCCAUUCAGUACUGAGCAAGGAGAAGAAACAUCUAGGUCUGUACAUGGCGACUUGCCUGGUAGACAUGUACUGCAAGUGUGGCGAGCUUGAGGAGGCUUGCAAGAUUUUCCACUCCAUGGGAACUCGGAGUGUUGUGUCCUACACCGCGAUCAUCCAGGGGUGCAACACGAACGGGCGAGCUGAACUUGCUCUGGAGUACUACUCUGCCCUGAGAGCUGAUAACACCAUUCAACCCGACGAUCGGACUCAUGUCGUGGUGAUCAGCGCCUGCUCCACACUUGCUACCGAAUCCAGCGAGAAGAGGGAGAGAGCUCUAUGCAUCGGGAUGGAGAUCCAUUCAAUGCUGAGCAAGGAGAAGAAACAGCUAGCUCUGUUCGUGGCGAAUUGCCUGGUAGACAUGUACUGCAAGUGUGGCGAGCUUGAGGAGGCUCGCAAGAUUUUCCACUCCAUGGGAACUCGGAGUGUUGUGUCCUACACCGCGAUCAUCCAGGGGUGCAACACGAACGGGCGAGCUGAACUUGCUCUGGAGUACUACUCUGCCCUGAGAGCUGAUAACACCAUUCAACCCGACGAUCGGACUCAUGUCGUGGUGAUCAGCGCCUGCUCCACACUUGCUACCGAAUCCAGCGAGAAGAGGGAGAGAGCUCUACGCAUCGGGAUGGAGAUCCAUUCAAUGCUGAGCAAGGAGAAGAAACAGCUAGAUCUGUUCGUGGCGACUUGCCUGGUAGACAUGUACUGCAAGUGUGGCGAGCUUGAGGAGGCUCGCAAGAUUUUCCACUCCAUGGGAACUCGGAGUGUUGUCUCCUACACCGCAAUCAUCCAGGGCUGCAACAUGAACGGGCGAGGUGAACUUGCUCUGGAGUACUACUCUGCCCUGAGAGCUGAUAACACCAUUCAACCCGACGAUCGGACUCAUGUCGCGGUGAUCAGUGCCUGCUCCACACUUGCUACCGAAUCCAGCGAGAAGAGGGAGAGAGCUCUACGCAUC